rnacentral:rRNA from 1 species
AUUCCUACGGGAGGCAGCAGUGAGGAAUAUUGGUCAAUGGGCGUAGGCCUGAACCAGCCAAGUAGCGUGAAGGAUGACUGCCCUAUGGGUUGUAAACUUCUUUUAUAAGGGAAUAAAGUGGAGUAUGUAUACUCUUUCGUAUGUACCUUAUGAAUAAGGAUCGGCUAACUCCGUGCCAGCAACCGCGGUAAUACGGAGGAUCCGAGCGUUAUCCGGAUUUAUUGGGUUUAAAGGGAGCGUAGGCGGAUGUUUAAGUCAGUUGUGAAAGUUUAAGGCUCAACCUUGAAAUUGCAGUUGAUACUGGACGUCUUGAGUGCAUUAAAUGUGGGCGGAAUUCGUGGUGUAGCGGUGAAAUGCCUAGAUAUCACGAAGAACUCCAAUUGCGAAGGCAGCUCACAGGACUGUAACUGACGCUGAUGCUCGAAAGUGUGGGUAUCAAACAGGAUUAGAUACCCUGGUAGUCCACACAGUAAACGAUGAAUACUCGCUGUUUGCGAUAUACAGUAAGCGGCCAAGCGAAAGCGUUAAGUAUUCCACCUGGGGAGUACGCCGGCAACGGUGAAACUCAAAUGAAUUGACGGAAU